rnacentral:rRNA from 1 species
UACGAAGGAUGCAAGCGUUAUCCGGAUUCAUUGGGUUUAAAGGGAGCGUAGGUGGCCUUGUAAGUCAGUGGUGAAAUCCUGUCGCUUAACGAUAGAAUUGCCAUUGAUACUGCAGGGCUUGAGUACAGUUGCCGUUGGCGGAAUAUGACAUGUAGUGGUGAAAUACAUAGAUAUGUCAUAGAACACCGAUUGCGAAGGCAGAUGACGAAACUGUAACUGACACUGAGGCUCGAAAGUGUGGGGAUCAAACAGG